rnacentral:lncRNA from 1 species
UUUACACAGUAAACAGGCCUGGAAAUGAAUGGAACUAGUACUCCUGAGAAUUAAAUUGUAUAUCCUCCAAAUUAAAAUUUACUUCAAAAGUGUUAAAGAAUUCAUGUCCUAUAUAUAAAAUACAAAUAGGCUUAGAUUGCUGGACAUUUAAUGUAGUUUCCCAUCCCUAGUCUUUUAUGUUUGUGAUGUUAAUUUCUUUUGUUGCAUAACAAAAUAAAAGAAUUAUGUAUUUUUAACUAAGGAGAGACAUACUGGUAUAUCAUUUUACUACAAGCUACAGAUAUCCUGUUGAGCUUGUGCCUUGAUUGUUUUCACAACUAGUACAAAUCAACCUGAUGUUUUAAAUUGGCAGGGAAUAAUUAAUUGUAGCUUUCAAAUCAUUGGAAGGGGAAAAGGAUGUCUUUUAGGAUUAUUUUCCUUCUUGUAGUAGUUGAGGCAGAGCUAUUAUUUACUGUAAUGCUAAAUGAAACAGUGGCUUAAAUACUUUAAUGGGAAAAAAGAACACAGUGCGUUCCAUAUUGUGAUAAGGUAAUGUGAGGUUUUUCCUUUUUUUUCUGAGCUAGCCUUUAGAACACUGUUGUGGUAUGUAUGCUACCUUGAUUAUAGGACCCCCUAAAUGUGACUAUAGUCAUCAUAAUGGGCAUCUAGUCCACUGUGCUUCUUAUGUAUUAUGAAAGUGAUAAGAAGACAAAUUAAGUGGGUAUAUUUUAUAAAAUAAAUUCAUGAAGAGAUUUGUGUUCUUCAGUUCUCAAGUUUAUUAUCACUACAGUAUUGAAGUAGUUGUGAUACUAUAUCUGUGUGAAAGUUUUGAAAUGGUAAUAUAGAUUAUCAAACAGAAGUAACAUCAGUAUAUUUAAAAGAAAGUGAAAACAAAUAAACCUAAAAUGUUUUCAGAGGUAAAAAUACAUUC